rnacentral:misc_RNA from 1 species
GCAUAGCAGGCCUGAAAUACACAGGUUGAUCCACUAUUACGAAUAAAAUCUAAAGUAGGAUGUGUAAUUAUAACAACUCUGUUACUUUGUUCAGAAAUAGAAGGUUAAAGACAGUUAUAACUAGCAAUCAUUGAGAUUCCAAUUUCUAACACUAGUUCCCAACUUGAUGCCACUAAUAAAAUUUUUUCCCUAUUGAAUUUCUCAAUUGGGGGAAAAAAAAGAGCAAGCACACUGAGGCAACUUUAAAGUAGUUUCCCAGCUUAUCCUUUGUACCAUGUCAGGGAAGAAGAUAAUUGAAACAUUAAUGUCAUCAAAAUAGAGCUAUGGCAGCCAAACAGAGUUUAGA